CAAACUACAGCUCCCAGCAACCCUUUGCCACCUCGAUAGCAAGAAAUGUAACAGUUCUUUCAGUGCAACUGAACUCCAAGCUAUUAAACUAGAGUUGCCAGAGAGUAUGAAACUUGUCAGUGUUACUGCCCCCUGCUGACAGGAAAGCGCAUGGGAUGGAAGGUCGCAAGCAGAAAGCCCUGGGCAGUGCCGGAGGGAGGGGAUCAUUGCAUCGCCUCCUACAUAAACAAUUCCAGGCAUUUCCCGGGAGUAACCCGGGACCCAUCAAGUCACUCCGUCUCUCUCGCUCACUCUGAGUUACUUCCGCAGUUUGCACAGAGCCCGGUCCGGAAUCUUCUUAUUCUACUCCCCGCCAAUCUCUAGGCAAAAGCAUCGCAGCGUCCCUAGAAACCAUCUUUUCCGCCCCGCCUCCUCCUGUCCCACGUGUUGGUUUCGGAAGCCAAUGCGCCCACUGAUGACGUCAUAACAAUACCAUGUCCGCGCGCUCAGCAAUAUUUGCUACAAUUGUCCCAUCAUGCGUUCCAUAAACACACUGCCGGUUAGUUCGGGCGCGCAGAGAGUGUUGUCCCACCUGCAGGAGGUGGAGCAUGUGCGGGGGGACCGGCGGCAGCUGCGGGCACAACUUGGGGUGGGAUUAGAGGGUCACGUAGGAACUUGAGCUUCUGCUGAGAAGUGAAGGCUUAAUGGGGGCGCAGUGCUGUGUAUACACGUGUGUCAUUCCGCCUCAUUGUGGAUGUGAAGAGGAAUGAGAAAAGAGAAGCCCCGAGGUCCCUCAGCAAUGGCCGCUGUCCAACAGGAAAUGUGCAUUUCUGCAAAGAAUAGCCUCCAGAAUUUUGCAUGCUGAAGGUCAAACCUCAAAUUGCUACGGAGAACUGUGCCCACAGAUCUGCAUGUAGAAAAGCAAAGAUGGUGCAUCUGAAUAGCUACAGGUCAAACCACAAACUUCUACAGAGAACUGCACCCUCAGAUCUGCAUGUAGAAAAGCAAGGAUGGUGCCACUGAAUAGAUGCAGGUGUUCACUUUCAAGCAAUAUAUUGUUUGUGGGGGGUAUUUCACAGUAAGGUGGUGUUUAG